rfam:Schistosoma curassoni strain Dakar, Senegal genome assembly, scaffold: SCTD_scaffold0000508
GCACUGCUGAGGAGUCCCAUAAUAGGACGAAACGGCCUUAGAGUGC